rnacentral:rRNA from 1 species
GUUCCUACGGGAGGCAGCAGUGGGGAAUAUUGCACAAUGGGUGGAACCCUGAUGCAGCGACGCCGCGUGGGUGAAGAAGUCAUUCGUGACGUAAAGCCCUAUCAGCAGGGAAGAAAAUGACGGUACCUGACUAAGAAGCCCCGGCUAACUACGUGCCAGCAGCCGAGGUAAUACGUAGGGGGCAAGCGUUAUCCGGAUUUACUAGGUGUAAAGGGAGCGUAGACGGCUAUGCAAGUCUGGAGUGAAAGGCGGGGGCCCAACCCCCGGACUGCUCUGGAAACUGUAGAGCUAGAGUGCAGGAGAGG